rnacentral:rRNA from 1 species
UACGUAGGGUGCAAGCGUUGUCCGGAAUUAUUGGGCGUAAAGAGCUCGUAGGCGGUCUGUCGCGUCGGCUGUGAAAACCCGGAGCUCAACUCCGGGCCUGCAGUCGAUACGGGCAGACUGGAGUUCGGCAGGGGAGACUGGAAUUCCUGGUGUAGCGGUGAAAUGCGCAGAUAUCAGGAGGAACACCGGUGGCGAAGGCGGCUCUCUGGGCCUUACCUGACGCUGAGGAGCGAAAGCGUGGGUAGCGAACAGG